rnacentral:tRNA from 1 species
UCUAAUAUGGCAGAUUAGUGCAUUAAAUUUAAGCUUUAAACAUGAACCCCCGUUCUAUUAGAA